CUCGCUGCUCGCCCGGAAGUCCCCGUCAGGCGCUCGGCGGGUGCCGCUCGGGUGUCGCUCUCCUUCUCGCGUCCGGCCUCGCCCUGCACACGCCGCUCACCUCACACCCCUCUUCCUUCAACACGGGGGGCUCCCCGCGGUUCCCGCCGACUGGACCCGUGGACGUUUUCGCUGGCCGCGCAGACCCGUGGGGCGUGACGGACCCUGAGCCAGCCCUCGGCCAGGGGGUGGACCCAGCACCACAUAAGCAAAAAAGAAAAAAGCCGGAAGUGGC